AGGCGACGAUCAGUAGCCGACCUGAGAGGGUGAUCGGCCACAUUGGAACUGAGACACGGUCCAAACUCCUACGGGAGGCAGCAGUGGGGAAUAUUGCACAAUGGGCGAAAGCCUAAUGCAGCAACGCCGCGUGAGCGAUGAAGUCCUUCGGGUCGAAAAGCUCUGUCCUCAAGGAAGAUAAUGACGGUACUUGAGGAGGAAGCCCCGGCUAACUACGUGCCAGCAGCCGCGGUAAUACGUAGGGGGCUAGCGUUAUCCGGAUUUACUGGGCGUAAAGGGAGCGUAGGCGGUCUUUUAAGUCAGGAGUGAAAGGCUACGGCUCAACCGUAGUAAGCUCUUGAAACUGGAGGACUUGAGUGCAGGAGAGGAGAGUGGAAUUCCUAGUGUAGCGGUGAAAUGCGUAGAUAUUAGGAGGAACACCAGUAGCGAAGGCGGCUCUCUGGACUGUAACUGACGCUGAGGCACGAAAGCGUGGGGAGCAAACAGGAUUAGAUACCCUGGUAGUCCACGCCGUAAACGAUGAGUACUAGCUGUCGGAGGUUA
rnacentral:rRNA from 1 species